rnacentral:rRNA from 1 species
AACGAACGCUGGCGGUAUGCCUAACACAUGCAAGUCGAACGAGACCUUCGGGUCUAGUGGCGCACGGGUGCGUAACGCGUGGGAACCUGCCCUUAGGUUCGGAAUAACUCCCUGAAAGGGGUGCUAAUACCGGAUAAUGUCUUCGGACCAAAGAUUUGUCGCCUUUGGAUGGGCCCGCGUUGGAUUAGCUAGUUGGUAGGGUAAAAGCCUACCAAGGCGACGAUCCAUAGCUGGUCUGAGAGGAUGAUCAGCCACACUGGGACUGAGACACGGCCCAGACUCCUACGGGAGGCAGCAGUGGGGAAUAUUGGACAAUGGGCGGAAGCAUGAUCCAGCAAUGCCGCGUGAGUGAUGAAGGCCUUAGGGUUGUAAAGCUCUUUUACCCGGGAUGAUAAUGACAGUACCGGGAGAAUAAGCUCCGGCUAACUCCGUG